AGUCCCGUAGUGUAGUGGUCCAUCAUCUCGGGUUUUGGUCCCGGGGACCCUGGUUCAAAUCCGGGCGGGACUACCA
rnacentral:tRNA from 1 species